rnacentral:rRNA from 1 species
AUUGAACGCUGGCGGCAGGCCUAACACAUGCAAGUCGAACGAGUGGCGGACGUGUGAGUUAGGUAUGGGCAAGUGCGUGGUGGAUGGCGAUAACUACUGGACACUGUAGCUACUACCGCAUACCAUAGGAUGUGCCCAGAUGGGAUUAGCUUGGUGGUGGGGGAAAGGCACACCAAGGCGACGAACCCUAGCUGGUCUGAGAGGAUGAACAGCCACACUGGAACUGAGACACGGUCCAGACUCCUACGGGAGGCAGCAGUGGGGAAUAUUGCACAAUGGGCGCAAGCCUGAUGCAGCCAUGCCGCGUGUAUGAAGAAGGCCUUCGGGUUGUAAAGUACUUUCAGCGGGGAGGCGUUACCCACAGAAUAAGCACCGGCUAACUCCGUGCCAGCCGCCGCGGUAAUUC